AUUGAACGCUGGCGGCAUGCCUUACACAUGCAAGUCGAACGGCAGCACGGGGCAACCUGGUGGCGAGUGGCGAACGGGUGAGUAAUGUAUCGGGACGUGCCAUUGAGUGGGGGAUAACGUAGCGAAAGUUACGCUAAUACCGCAUAUACCCUGAGGGGGAAAGCAGGGGAUCGCAAGACCUUGUGCUCUUUGAGCGGCCGAUAUCAGAUUAGCUAGUUGGUGAGGUAAAGGCUCACCAAGGCGACGAUCUGUAGCGGGUCUGAGAGGAUGAUCCGCCACACUGGGACUGAGACACGGCCCAGACUCCUACGGGAGGCAGCAGUGGGGAAUUUUGGACAAUGGGCGCAAGCCUGAUCCAGCCAUGCCGCGUGAGUGAAGAAGGCCUUCGGGUUGUAAAGCUCUUUCGGCCGGGAAGAAAUCGUACAGGUUAAUACCCUGUGUGGAUGACGGUACCGGAAUAAGAAGCACCGGCUAACUACGUGCCAGCCGCCGCCGUAAAAC
rnacentral:rRNA from 1 species